rnacentral:rRNA from 1 species
GGAUUAGGCAUGCAAGUCGAACGAGAACCCCGCAAGGGGUGAAAGUGGCAAACGGCGUAGUAAGGCGUAGGUGACGUACCUCCCGAUUCAGGAUAGCUACGGGAAACUGUAGGUAAUACUGGAUAACCCCUCCGAGAUUGAAAAUCGGAGUGCAAAGGUGUGAUUCCGUCAGGAGAGCGGCUUACGUGGUAUUAGCUAGUUGGUGAGGUAAUGGCUCACCAAGGCUUCGAUGCCUAGGGGGUGUUAGCGCAUGACCCCCACGACUGGGACUGAGAUACUGCCCAGACACCUACGGGUGGCUGCAGUCGAGAAUCUUCGGCAAUGGGCGCAAGCCUGACCGAGCGACGCCGCGUGUGGGAUGAAGGCCCUUGGGUUGUAAACCUCUUUUGUUCGGGAAGAAGUGCGAUCAGGUGAAUAAUCUGGUCGUUUGACGGUACCGGACGAAUAAGCUCCGGCUAACUCCGUGCCAGCAGCCGCGGUAAUA